UACGUAGGGACCAAGCGUUGUUCGGAUUUACUGGGCGUAAAGGGCGCGUAGGCGGCGUGGUAAGUCACUUGUGAAAUCUCUGAGCUUAACUCAGAACGGCCAAGUGAUACUGCUGUGCUAGAGUGCAGAAGGGGCAAUCGGAAUUCUUGGUGUAGCGGUGAAAUGCGUAGAUAUCAAGAGGAACACCUGAGGUGAAGACGGGUUGCUGGGCUGACACUGACGCUGGGGCGCGAAAGCCAGGGGAGCAAACGGG
rnacentral:rRNA from 1 species